rnacentral:rRNA from 1 species
GACGAACGCUGGCGGCGUGCUUAACACAUGCAAGUCGAACGGAAAGGCCCUGCUUUUGUGGGGUGCUCGAGUGGCGAACGGGUGAGCAACACGUGAGUAACCUGCCCUUGACUUUGGGAUAACUUCAGGAAACUGGGGCUAAUACCGGAUAGGAGCUCCUGCUGCAUGGUGGGGGUUGGAAAGUUUCGGCGGUUGGGGAUGGACUCGCGGCUUAUCAGCUUGUUGGUGGGGUAGUGGCUUACCAAGGCUUUGACGGGUAGCCGGCCUGAGAGGGUGACCGGCCACAUUGGGACUGAGAUACGCCCCAGACUCCUACGGGAGGCAGCAGUGGGGAAUAUUGCACAAUGGGCGGAAGCCUGAUGCAGCAACGCCGCGUGCGGGAUGACGGCCUUCGGGUUGUAAACCGCUUUCGCCUGUGACGAAGCGUGAGUGACGGUAAUGGGUAAAGAAGCACCGGCUAACUACGUG